rnacentral:rRNA from 1 species
GCUCGUGCCGUAAGGUGUUGGGUUAAGUCCCGCAACGAGC